rnacentral:rRNA from 1 species
AGUGAACGCUGGCGGUAUGCCUAACACAUGCAAGUCGAACGGCAGCACAGUAAGUGCUUGCUCUUACGGGUGGCGAGUGGCGGACGGGUGAGGAAUACAUCGGAAUCUACUAUUUCGUGGGGGAUAACGUAGGGAAACUUACGCUAAUACCGCAUACGACCUACGGGUGAAAGCAGGGGAUCUUCGGACCUUGCGCGAUUGUAUGAGCCGAUGUCGGAUUAGCUAGUUGGCGGGGUAAAGGCCCACCAAGGCGACGAUCCGUAGCUGGUCUGAGAGGAUGAUCAGCCACACUGGAACUGAGACACGGUCCAGACUCCUACGGGAGGCAGCAGUGGGGAAUAUUGGACAAUGGGCGCAAGCCUGAUCCAGCCAUACCGCGUGGGUGAAGAAGGCCUUCGGGUUGUAAAGCCCUUUUGUUAGGAAAGAAAAUCAGCGUAUGAAUACCCCGCUGUUCUGACGGUACCCAAAGAAUAAGCACCGGCUAACUUCGUG